UACGUAGGGUGCGAGCGUUGUCCGGAAUUAUUGGGCGUAAAGAGCUUGUAGGCGGUUUGUCGCGUCUGCUGUGAAAAUCCGAGGCUCAACCUCGGACUUGCAGUGGGUACGGGCAGACUAGAGUGUGGUAGGGGAGACUGGAAUUCCUGGUGUAGCGGUGGAAUGCGCAGAUAUCAGGAGGAACACCGAUGGCGAAGGCAGGUCUCUGGGCCACUACUGACGCUGGAGAAAGCGAAA
rnacentral:rRNA from 1 species